AUUAAAUCAAUCUGGGAAGGUGCAGUGAGUUCUGGGGAAAAUUUGAAGCUUCCUGGAGCAGGUGGGCUGGAGCUGACCUUUCCAGAAAUUGGAAACAGGACCUCGAUCUGCUAGGAAGCAACUGGACUUCACUAUAUUCCUGAAAGUCAAGUUUUCCAUCUAUCUCAGAAGUUAAGAGCUGGGAAGGUGGGGUGGUUUGAGUAUGACUAACCCAGGGAGUGGCACUAUUUGGAGGUGUGGCCUCCAUGGAGUAGUUGUGGUCUUGUUGGAGUAGGUGUGGCCUUGAUAGAGUGGGUGUGUCUUGAUGGAGUGGGUGUGGCCUUGAUGGAGUAUGUGUGCCACUGUGGAAUUAGGCUUUAAAAUUCUCAUCCUAGCUGCCAAUUUAAUGUUGUCCAUUAUAAGAGUUGCCUUGGUCAUAGUGUCUGUUCACAGGAGUAAAGUGCUAGCUAACACAGAAGGGCAGAGCUGUUUGCUGAGAGCUCUUGGCUUUUACUCUUAUUGUCAGGGAAAUAAGACUGAAGAAGAAGGGACAGAAUAGUGAAGUGGCAACAUUUUGGGACAGGAAAUAAAAGUACUUCCUGCCCAGUAGAUUCCUUUAGUAGCAGGUGCUAUCUGGCACUAAUUAGAGGACAAGUAAAAUGCUCUGUCCAAGCCUUAGGAUCUCAGGUUUUACCACAGAACUACUCUGACCACUGUAGGUCUCUGAGUCAGCAGGUGUGGGUGGCAGGCAGAACCCUACUACGGCAAGCCCUGUGCAAAACACUGGAUCCACACAAAGACUUGCUCUUAGCUGCUAGCUCCGGGUGUUCUGGGCUGUAAGUCUGGUUACUCUUGAGUCUGGUGACUUUGUAACCCUACAUGGCUUCUUUAAGGCCAUGUGCAGUGUGAGAUAGACGGAUAUCUGGGCAUCUGCAGCCUGUGAGUUCUUGUGGCCUUUGGGGUUUUUCUCCCAGCUUCUAUAAACACAACCUUCAGUGUUCUGAAGCCAAGUUGGCUCCUCUGCAGCUGUGAGCCUGAGGAGGCUGUGUCCUUGGUCCUGAGGAGGCUGUGUCCUUGGUGCCUGAGGAGGCUGUGUCCUUGGUGCCUGAGGAGUCUGUGUGCUUGGUGCCUGAGGAGGCUGUGUCCUUGGUCCUGAGGAGGCUGUGUGCUUGGUGCCUGAGGAGGCUGUGUCCUUGGUGCCUGAGGAGUCUGUGUGCUUGGUGCCUGAGGAGGCUGUGUGCUUGGUGCCUGAGGAGGCUGUGUCCUUGGUGCCUGAGGAGUCUGUGUGCUUGGUGCCUGAGGAGGCUGUGUCCUUGGUGCCUGAGGAGGCUGUGUGCUUGGUGCCUGAGGAGGCUGUUUCCUUGGUCCUGAGGAGGCUGUGUCCUUGGUGCCUGAGGAGGCUGUGUGCUUGGUCUCUUGAAGCACGUGCUAAGGGAACCAGAGGAAACCAUAUCCACCUCUCUACAAACCUAUAUGGACAUUGACCUCCAAGCCUGGGUUUUCUGAAGCAGCCAGGGCAAUUCUCGUCUGUCUGUUCACUCCUGAUCAUACUUCACUGUGCUUGGGCUGGACUGUGAAGAAGUGGUGUGUAGAGAAGGCGCUGUCCCUCAGCUGCUGCACCUUAGCGUCUACUGAAGAUACCUCAAGUCUUCUGUGACAGGUCAAAGAUUUGAGCAGCAGUCACUUGCAAUUGAUUCUUUGAUUUUCAGCUGGAGGUCAGCACAUAGAGUUGUGCUGCCGCACACGUCAUUGUUCACAUCAGCAAGUUCUCUCAAAGCAUCAGGACACCAUUGUUUCCAAGUCUCCCUCUCUAGUUCUGAUCUCUGUAGGCAUCCUCCACACCUUGCCUUCUAGAUUACCGUAUGUCCUCCAUCCAUUUCUCCCUUGUAUUGUUUCUGUUCAUGUGUGCACACUCGUGUGUGUGUGUGUGUGUGUGUGUGUGUGUGUGUGUGUGUUCACACAGUUCCUGGAUUCAUGAAGAAACCUGACUCACAGCACAGACAAUCUACUGGCUGCAACACCUCUUCCUCCACCAGAGAACUGUGUUCCACUCCCACUUGCGAAUUCAGUUUUUAUGCCAGUUUAGGUACAUCUUGCUACGAAACUCCUGUGGGAGCCUGUGUAAGCAAGAUGUGAAUGCCAGAUAGGUCAGUGUCAGAAUGUUCUUCUCGAUAGAUGUCCUUCAAGAAAGAGUUACAAAAACCAUGAUAAUGAACGUAUUUGAAAUCAAGGACAUGAAGAAAAUGUGAUUGUGUUUAUCUCUGUGGGAAAGAAAGAGAGCUGGGAGGAACAUUCUUUGAUUUUCUUAUGUACCCAAGUAAGCCUUUCAUAUUCCCUCACGGUAUUUGAAUAUGUUUAAGGUAGCGUGAGUUCACCUCUUGUUUGCUAUGUAUUAGUGAAAGUUCUCUGGAGGAACAACUUAGAGAACCUCGCAUUCCCUUCCUUGCUCUGUCUCUCUCUAUGUUUAAUAAAUAUAUUCAUAUGUAUUUAAAUGGAAACAUAUAUGCAAAUCUCAUGUAUGUGUAUAUGAUUUAUUAGGAAUUUUUCUUGCCAGUUGUGGUGCCACAUGCCAAUGUGAUUUGCUGAAGGAGCCAGAGGUGUGAGGACAAUGAGCCCAAGGCCAGCCUGGGCUACACAUUUUAGGGCUGGUGAGAUGGUUCAGCCUUUAAAGGCUAGGCUCAAAACCAAAGAUAUAAGAAUUUAUUAGAAACAAUAAUGGGCUGUACAAUGGAACAAUGGUUAUUUAUGGAAGGAAGACACAAGAAUCUGGUUGUAGUUCAGCUGCUGAAGUGGCUGGAUGUCUCAUCUGGCCUACAGUAUAUGCCUGUAGUUCAGAACGAUGAAGAAGUUGGCUCUAAGAGUAGUGAAGAAAUGGACUCUUUAAGGAGCACAGUGACAAGCAGGCAGGCAGGGAGAGCUUCCCUCUUCUAUGAUCUUCAUGCAUCCUGCCAACAGAGGGUGUGGUGGCUGAGAGUAAAGUUGGCUCUUCGUCUCACUAAAGAGAAAGAUUGAAGGUUUAUUGUCCCACCUCAAAAAUCCAGGUUAGAACAGGAUGGUCCCAGUUCAAGUAGUUAAUUAAGGAAAAAUGGAUCAGACGUGUGCCCCGUAAAGUUGUGUUUCAGUAAAUUCCUGAAGUAGACAGCUAGACAACCAGGACUUGCCAUCACAGACGGCUUCAGUGAUAAAAAUGAGAAGUGUCUGUUUUCACUGGUCUUGAUCUCAGAAGCCUUGAGUUCCCUGCUAUCCCACAUGGGUCUCUGCAAUGUCCUUUCAUGGGCAGAGUCAGCCUGAGAGAUCACAGAGAAGGUCUACAAACUACAUUGUGGUCUCAACACUAGCCUCUCAAAGAUCCUAUUUCCAAACCAGGUUCACAUUCCCCUUAACUGGAUUGGGACUUGAACAUCAGAAAGGCACUGUCCACCGAUCCGUCAUACAGUAUAGGGUUCAGGAAGGCACAGAAGUCACCUGUAGGGUAGAGUACAGUAGCUCUGUGGGGUGUGGCAAUCCAGGCUCAACGUGAUCCUGGUCUUCACUGCAGGGCCAUCAGUGAGUUUAAAGGUGAAGUGAGACACUAAGCUCUGGGGCAAAGGCAUCUUAGUAAUCUGUCCCCUUUGCCCUCUCCCUUCCGUGCUUCUGUUGCAGUGGAUUUGUAUAUAAGGCUGGCUGUGUCACCUUUCCUCAUAGGGGCCUGUGAUUCACGAAGAAUGGUACCCCAUACUCCAAUAGUGUGCAACAACAGAGGAGAACCUGCAUGCAGGGGUCCACCAUACAUCAGCAAGGAAGACAGAGGUGUGGACUCUGCAGGGUCAACUUAAAGCCUGUAAGGGGAGGAGUGGGUGACUUUUCCUUUUUGGUCUUGAUGGUUUUCUCUUUCUUCAUGGGUCUGGUUACCUUUGUGAUUGGUUAAAGCUCUGUGAGAUUAGGGCUGCUUUUGCUGACCACACUUGGCUCAAGCUAGGUGGUGGGGCAGCAUCUACAGCUCCCUAUUUGCUGCCCUUGUGAUUGGCUCACACUAAGUGUUGGGACAGCUUCCUGAGGGGAAGUUUUUCCUGGAAUUGACUGGUUUUGGACUUUUCCAGUUCUGGGAAACAGAAACGUAGGCCUAGUCUCCUAACCUGCAGGUUUGAGGCUGUUGUGGAGUCAGCGUGGCUCUGGCUGAUUCAGUCCUCUUACCAUGGUGGCAUUUGCAUUGUCACAGGUGGCUCUGAUCAAGGACUUUGGCUCCUGUGUAGCUCUGGGUAAAGUAGCAGUGACAUACCACAUAUUCUCCCCAUGAUGGGGUUGUUAGAUUCUCCCACUGAGAUGCCCUUACAUACCCCUGUCUGGCAUCUCACUCGCCUGCGUCUUUCCUCGACCUCGUGUUGAGGAAUGGGCCAUGACUCCUCCUGUGAGUGUCUGCUCUUACUGUCUGACGGCUGACCUGGGGAGCCCAGUCCCCACUGUCUCCCAGCUCUCCUGUCAGUAGUUGGUCACACCUUUGCUAACGUCAUGAUGGCUGGAAUGUGCUCUGCUAACGCAGUUAGGAAAUCUUCCCUCAUUGCCUACGGAGCUCACCUCUGCUCUGACAGGACAGCCACAGUCACCCACCACCUGCACAACGCCCUGUGGAUCUAGGUGCUGCUCACCUCAGGGCACUGAUAUUUCCUCCCCAGCAUCCUGACCGAAUUCACUAACCAUUUGUAUUUCCCAUAUUAUUGAAUAAAGGACAUGAGGAGAAGAGUCAUCCUGGACUACGCUUGGCAAGUGAGCCUUCUAUGGAGUAGGGGACACAUUGUGAUGAAGCAGAGGGAACUCUGAUAGUGGAAUGGGGUAGAGGAAUGGCUCUCAGGGAAGUCCCCUGGAAAGGGCAUUUGGCUUCGCUGAUUUAGUAACAUAUUUGUGGGCUGGUGGAGUUGGAGGUGAUCUAAAAAUCCAUCUUCUGAACAUUCUGUUGUAUCCUGGAGAUUCCUUGGAAUUCUUUGUGAUGUCACCUGUGUUGUGGCAACAGCAACUGCAUUCAUUAAUCCUUCAGUCAGUGACUACAGGCUUUACCCAUAAACGUGUUGGCAAGAGUGAGGAGUGUAGUUGGGAGAGAGACUGGAGGGCUUAGAGAGACUGGAGAGAAGCAGAAGGAAGCUGUCCUUCAAUAUCAACGUACAGCAGGAAGAAACAAAUGCUUCUGGAAAACAGGCAUUGAGUUCUGAGAGGAAGGGAGAAGGGGAGGAACGGGGGAACGGAGGGGAAGAGAGAAGAAAGGAGGGGAAGAUUGAGGGAGGUGGACCUUUAUCUAGAUCUUCCUGUAGUGGGACUCAGCCGCUGAGAGACUCUGGGAAGUGACAGACCUACCCUGCUUCUCUGGGUUCCUACAGAGCAGACCCAGGUCAAGGAUUUCUGAUAGAUCAUUUGGCAGAGUCAGGAAUUGACAAGGUGCAGCUGCUCCUCUGGUAGCCCAUUACGUUCAUUCUGAGAGGCAAUGAAGGCCAGAAGGCACUCAGAAAGUAAGGACGUGGCCCUCUAAGGUUAGGGUUAGAUGUACGAAGGUCUCAGACAUACAGGUACACGUGUCAGGGCUCGUGCUGGUAAUGAUGAGAGACUUCACUAUUUACCUCCAUCACGUUAGCUAUGACCUGACAUUUUCUGCUAAGUCUUCCUGACUGGGCCAGCUUCUGCUCUCUGUGGCUAAAGGGACUACAGUAGGGAGUGCAGCACAUGCAUCUCCAUGGUGGCUGGGGACAGGGAAGUGACUUAGGGGCCUCAGCUCCAGUUUCCUCUCCCUGCUCUUUCCUGGCAUCACCCAGCACUCCCUCUCCCUCAGGCUUUAUCUGGGGACUCUGCGUUCUUUCUUCUGGCCCCGUGCAAUCCAACUCUGUAGGUCUCUUGUGUUUACCUACAGGGACUCCUCAGGAGGCAUCAUCUGCACCCUCCCUCCUCACUGAGCAGGAGCAGCAUGUGCAGAAGGUGGAGAGACAGCCUGUGAGACAGAUGAGCUGCAGGGUGUCAUUGACCCAUCAGACAGUCAAGGAUUUGAGCAACAGGUGGCUAACAUGCCCAGCUCACUCCUGGCUAUGUUGUCACCACUGUGUCAAGCCUAGCUCUCCUCAGGGACAGGAAGCUGAACCUCCAUGAUGUCCUCAUGCCCACUAAUUUUCCUGAGUGUGUCUAAGAAGCAGAACUUGAAGCCAGGUUAGGAGCGGUUUGGGGACACAGGCUGUUCUGCUUCCUCCAAAUGAAAAGCAGAGCCUGUAUCCUCAAUCACAGUCUGGGGACAGGAACAGUAGUGUGCGGCUCUCAACAUGCACUUCAAGAUGCCUUGACUGGCAUUGGCUUGUGGGAGAUGCUAGGUCCUGUGUGUUUGUGAUGGACUUUGUAUUUAACCAGCAGGUGCUUGGGUCCUGGGUUUUGGCAACAGCAGGAGGGACGGGACAUGGCUCCAUUUGGUCCAUGUCAGUGUGUGACUGAAAGGCCAGGAGUUCAUAAGUUCAUAACUCCUCCUCUCUGAUCUGGUUCCUCAUACUCUUAGUGUGUGUGUGUGUGUGUGUGUGUGUGUGUGUGUGUGUGUGUGUUGGAGUCCCUCCAGACUCUGGAAGUGCAGGAUCUGUGGUAGGCCAUGAGGAUCUGCCUGUCUCAGACUUUCCAGUGCUGAGGUCUGGGACCUCCAGUGUGAGCUGCACUGCAUGUGGUCCUUGUGGUCUGUUUGUGACAUUCUUUGCGCCGAGGUCCAGGCCCUCCCCCAGAUUGAAUUUUGAGCUUGGGAUGCAGAGGAGGUAGUGUGAGCAGAUGAGGUCAGACCUGCAGAAAUUGCUGACGGAGAUAAGUGAGGCCUUGGACAAGUGCAAGGAGCUGACUGAGGAAACCGUCUCCUGCUGGUGACUUGCCUGGGACCAGAACAUCUAACAUAGCAAAAAUGUUUGUGCCACGAGGGGGUGUCAAUCUCCCGGGUGUCUGGGGCUCCGGCUGGAGAUUUUCACAGCUCGUUUCCAUGAGACAUGUUGUACUUUGCUGGGUCUCCUGUCCUCUCAGAAGGUGGAUGGCCUCUGCCGCUGAUGUUUUCCAAUACAAUGGACAGAUAAGCAUAGGUCAGGGCCACUGUUCUGGGAGGUACAUGGAUCCCUCUUGAGUUUUUAGGAGCACUUUGAGUCUUUCUGGAAUGUUUCCGCAUAUGGGUGUUUUGCCUGCAUGUAUACCUGUGUACCACGUGUACACCUGGUGCAUUUGGAGGCCAGGGUGGGUACUAGAUCCCCAGAAGUUACAGAUAGUUGUGAGCCACCAUGUGGAUCCUGGGAAUCCAACAUAGGUCCUCUGGAAGACUAUCCAGGGCUCUUAACUAUUGGGCCAUCUCUCCAGCCCCAACCUUUUCUGUGUAUUUGUUUUGAGGUCCAUAGUUCAUAGUUCAGGCUCACCUUGAACUCAAAAGCCUGCUUCAUCCUCUCUGUACACCAUUAUGCCUGCCAAAACAUGUGAUAACUGGAUAUUCCUAAAAGGAAAAUGUGCCAACAUCGUGUGGAAAAGUUUCACUUCAACAAUACCAGGGUGCACAGGAUGAAGCACAGCAACAGAGCAGGCCGGUGAGCACAUCGCUAUCCUCUCAGCUUUUAAGUCUGACAUAUCUAACAUACCACUCUUCUCUUUGAUUGCUGUGCACAGGCAAAACAACGUGAGAGGGGGAAAACCCACAGCAGGAAUUGUGAUAUAUGGAGAAUGUCCUGGUGGGAACCAGUGAUCCCACACAGGACUCCCACAAGCAGCACAGCUCUGAGGGCAUUUCUCAAGCAUGGUCCAGGUGGACAAAUACCCCUCAUCCAGGUAGCUGAGGUCAUCUCCUUUCUUUAGCUUCUGCAGGACCCCAGGGAAGGUGGUGAUAGUGGAGAAUUAUCAUGUAGGAGCUGAGUCUCUCUGGCACCUGGCUACCAUUGGGACUGUCAUUGUUGGGAUCACUCUUCUGGUGCUGAGAAGAGCCCCAGAUUCUGAAUUUGAGGGUGGACUUGGGCUUCAGGGCCUGCUUGCUCAGGUGGUUGUCAGAGCUAUGCUCAGACGCCUCUGUGCCUCUCAUGUUGGACAGACGUCCAGCCUGUGGCUGCCCAUGAUUGGGGAUUUAAGUGUAGAGCUGGCGGCUGUAGAUCCCUUGCCUCAGAUUUAAUUAAUUAUUUAUUUUUUUAUUUAUUCAUUUAUUAUAUAUAAGUACACUGUAGCUGUCUUCAGACACACCAGAAGAGGGAAUCGGAUCUCUUUACAGAUGGUUGUGAGCCACCAUGUGGUUGCUGGGAAUUGAACUCAGGGCCUCUGGAAGAGCAGUCAGUGCUCUUAACCUCUGAGCCAUGUCUCCAGCCCCCUUGCCUCAGAUUUAUAUCUCAUCACAUCUGCCUGCACUGCUGGCCUAAGCCAGGCUAUUCUGUAUAUUCAUGAUGGCUACUAUAAAGUCUUAAAAUCAGUUCAAAGUUUUUCAUUGUGAGGCUUACAUUUUAGUUAAGUAUAAAAGUUUCUAAGACGUGUUGGGGUAAUGGUAAAUACUUAUGAGUAUUUACUGUAAUUCCAGAGGCCCCAAAUUUGGUUUCCAGCACCCACAUAGUGGCUCACAACUACCCAUAAUUCCAGUUCCAAGGGAUUUGAUCUCCUGACUUCCACAAGCAUUUGACACACACAUCGUUCAGCAUGCAAAACAUUGGCGCACAUGAAAUAAGUCAUUUAAAAAUGUGUAAGAAACAAGGUCUCUUCCCACAAUAAAAUCAACUUCCACGGUAGCAAAACAUUUGCUGCUGUGGAUCGGUUGCUUGUAUUUCAAUCCAGAGGGCAGAGUCACACUAAGUGCCAUUCAUGGUUGGAACUCAGCAAGUAGGGUUCAGAUUUAGCUCCAUUUCUUGAACAUCUACCUUGCAAAAGGAGCUACAUGGCCUUAGUUAUACUCAUGUGCAGAAAGACCCAAUAUUUAGAAGACAUCAGUGAGCUUGUAGUUCAGUGUGGACUGCAAAGGAGGGCGGUGACUGCCAGGGGAAGAACAACGGACAAACCAUCUUAGGGAUGUUCAGAUAGUGGCUGGAGAUAAAGGACAAGAGUUUGAAGACAAUGGAAAACUGAGAAAUACUGAUAACCAUUCCUAAGUUUAAAUUGUAGGUACAACAGUUUUCCUGGGAGGCAGAGGCAGCCUUGACGAAUCACCAUCCAGAGAAAUGUGUUUCUUAGGCUCUCUCAUUUUGGAAAUCCUCCGACUUCAGAAGUCAUACUGAUGAUGACACAGAGAAAGGGUGCAAUUCUUAUAGAAGCCUCUUUUGAUAUACUUCAUAAAAAUCAAGUCUCACCAAUUCGGAAGUUUGCUGAAAUCAACACAACUAGUAGUCUGCAACUCGGCUCUCUACUGUUGCUACCUAUUGGUUUCCACGCCCUCAGCCUUCUAAUCAUCUGGGAAUGCCCUUGGCAUGGCAGGAUAGCAAAUCAUGUACGAGACCUGGUCUAAGAUAUGUUCCAUCUCGAAGAAGAAAUGUGUAGCUGUUUAAUCUCCCGCACAAGCAGCAUUGCACAGUACACAAAGCAGCAGCACCCAGCAAACAGGCCUCUAGUUUAUUAAUGGGUCCACACAAUCUCUGUCCUAGUCCAGCAGAACAAAGGCUUUCACUAGUCAGCUGUUCGAAAGGUAGAGCAGAAAGGAUUUAGCCGUGCCAAACUCCAGCAUACAGAAAGGCCUGAAAGGCCUUCUUAUUCAUAUGCACUCUCAGUGUUUCCAGUCAGACAUCAACCCUAUUCCCCAGACCAUCAAGGAGCACAACUCACAGAGACUCCCAGCCUGGAUAGGCCUAGCUUGGUUACUGGGUAAAGAGAGGAGACACAUCUGUCCCCCAUGGCUUCACACCAUUGUAACUGUCAGUUUCUAGAUAUCCCCACUAUACUAUGAUUCUGUGGGGACGGAGACUGAGGACUGCCAGGAUCUAGAAUGGUGCCAGGAGACCCCUGAACAGCAGCGUGUCCCUUCCUAGCCCCUAGAUUAGGGCAGAAGCCACACCCAAACACCCGUUUUCACAGAGAGGUCCUUUAUCAAGCAAGGAAGAAAAGUUAAAGUGGCUGCUUUCUGAUUCAAGCAGAAAACAGCAGCUUUCAGGUGUAAUUUUUAAGAAAAAAAAAAGGGGGGGUGAUUAGAAUGGGCUAGAAUAUAGUGGUGUAUUUUGAUUGGGCAUGUUAAUUAGAUGGAUAGGGUUUUGACUGCUGGACUUUAUUUAUUCUUUUUAUAGCUGGACCUUGGUAGUCAGCUUCAGGUGAAGGAAAUGGCUAAAUAAGGGAAUGGACCUUGGGGCUAGCAUUAGGAAUGUAAUCUUAGGGUUUUUAGCAAAGCAGAGAGAAUAGGAGAAAGGGGUAAGGCCAUGUUUGCUAGGCAUGAGCUGUGCCAGAGUAAGGCAAGCUAGAAUCCCUUCAGUGCCCCAUAGGCAACAUCCAUUUUUUUUUUUUUUUAAAGAGUUAACGUCAAACCAGGGAAAUCUGAAGACAACAGGAACAGCAUAGGAAGGAAGGGCUGGACAACUUAGGUUUUCAGCUUCUAACUCCAGGACCUCUAACUCUUGCCUGCUAAGCAAAGGGGAAACUAGGUUACUAUCAUUAAAUAAGGCUCCUCUAAGAAUUAUAGCCCUAUGUGUACAUGUAGAGUAUUUAAAGAAUUAUAGCCCUAUGUGUACAUGUAGAGUGUUUAAAAUUAGGGCUAAAAUUAUUUAGUGACAUCCAGAAUUCACAAAUACAAACAAACACUAGUCUCUUUAAAUACAGGCAAGUUACUUAUGAAGUUCUAGGGCUCAAAAUCAGUUUUGUUUCUAAUUUAAUUCAGUUUGAAAAUGUCACGGAAGCCAUGCCUAUAAUCCCAGAACAUGGGAGGCAGAGACAGGAAGAUUGCAAGUCCAAAAGUAACCAACCUGGGCUACCGAGUGAAUUCUAGGCUAGCCUUGGAUAAAUAUCAAAACCCUGUCUCAAAGAAAAUUAUAUUACUAAAAAUAAAUCAGAAGUCACAAAGGACAAGAAAAUUCUCUCUCUCCUUCUCUCUCUCUCACACUCAUACACACAUACAUUCUCUCUCUCUCUGUCUCUCUCUCUCUCUCUCUCUCUCUCUCUCUCUCACACACACACACACACACACACACACACACACACACACACACACACACACACACACCCGUACUGUUAUGGUUUAGGUAGACAUCUCACUGUAGGUCUCCAUUGCUUUCCUUUGUGGAACCAGGACAAUCCAACACUGGUGACGUGGCUUUACCUGUCUGUUUGGUGUUUUGUUUUUCUACUAUAGCAUGCAUGUCCUUCCCACACACUUUCCACACAGAGGAUGACCUCUAGUGUGGCUACAUGAACUAUUCCAGCCAGGAGCUUACUCCUGGACAUUUUGAUCAUUUAUCUCACAUUAAUUCCACACUAACUGUCCUGAUUAUCUGAAAUGUUGUGCACAUAACCGUGUUCGCUAAAAAAUUUUUAGAAGUACAUUUUUGGAGCAAGCCUGCAGUUUUACCUCAGUUUAUCUGUAUGUAGAUCUCUUUCUUUUUUUGUAGCAGAAAAACCACAAUGGCUGGAAGAAGCCAAAGUUCCCAGUCUGGGAAGGGAAGUCGAGGAAGGCUGGUGAUGGACAUGAGAGAAAAGUAUGCUAUUUUUGGUCAAAAAAAAAAACAAUGUGAUUCAAAGUGGAAUUAGAAACAAGGAAUUUCGAAACAGCGAUUAGCCUAUUACUAAGCCAGCACUCCUCAAAGAGAGCAGGAUGAAGGAACAGUGCUGUCUCACUUAAUUUAAAGUUAGAUGUACUCUUUCCCCCAAAACCUUACUAUUGCAGUAAGUGUUCAUUAUGACACUCCAUAAACAUGCCACCGCUUAAACAACACUUCCAUUUUCACACCACCACCAAAAAUGUAGACAUUGUUCUUCUCAGCUUCCAGAGGAGGGAAUGAGACUCAGAGAAAAUAAAGUGGUUUGCCGCUGAAAAACAAAGACGGUAAAACCCAGAGAUAAGAACACUCUGGAUGUGUGUCAUGUUCUGCACCAGGCCCUUCUGUUUGUCUUCGUCUUUAGACACGGCCUUACUUUGCAGUCCAGGGUGGUCUUAAGUGGAUUCUAACUGCUGUGCUUACUAUCUGAUUACAGCCCUGCUCUACUGAACCUGAAGGAAACUGCAGGAGACACACUAAAGACGCUAGUUAUGAACAGGCUUAUUUAAAACUGAAAUAACUACAAGAUCCCACUGACUUGAUUUGGAUAAAGUAAAUAUCAACAUUCGCAUGUAAUGCCAUGAGUCUGGCGAGUAAGUCACAUUUAAACAAUGACGAUAUUAAAAGGAAGAAGGAAGUAAGA